AUGGUCAUGGUUAUAGUCAUGGUCAUGGUUAUGGUCAUGGUUAUGGUUAUGGUUAUGGCCAUGGUCAUGGUCAUGGUUAUGUUAUUGUUAUGGUUAUGGUUAUGUUAAAGUCAUGGUUAUGGUUAUGUUAUGGUUAUGGUUACGGUCAUGGUUAUGGUCAUGGUUAUGAUUACGGUUAUGUUAUGGUUAUGGUCAUGGUUAUGGUUAUGUUACAGUCAUGGUUAUGGUCAUGGUGAUGGUUAUGUUAUGGUUAUGUUGUUAUGGUUAUGGUGAUGGUUAUGUUACAGUCAUGGUUAUGGUCAUGGUUAUGGUUAUGUUAUGGUCAUGGUUAUGGUUAUGUUGUUAUGGUUAUGGUUAUGGUUAUGGUUAUGGUCAUGGUUAUGGUUAUGAUUACGGUGAUGAAUGCAGAGAACAGUGGGGGGCACCAGGGCCACUGCCUCACAAUUAAACUCAUAAUUACCAAACCAGGAACCCCCCUCCAGCCCCCCCCCCAUCCCAAAAUCCCACCAUUGUCCAUCGGGGCUCCCCAUUGUCUUUUGGGGUCGCCAUCGUUCCC
rnacentral:lncRNA from 1 species